rnacentral:rRNA from 1 species
UACUCCCGCCGGCGACCGGCGCACGGGUGAGUAACACGUAUGAAACCUGCCCGUAGCAGGGGGAUAAGCGGAAGAAAUUCCGUCUAAUACCGCGUAACAACCCGAGGAGGCAUCUCCUCGGGUUUAAAGGAAGCGAUUCCGGCUACGGAUGGUCAUGCGUCGCAUUAGCUAGUUGGCGGGGUAACGGCCCACCAAGGCGACGAUGCGUGGGGGUUCUGAGAGGAAGGUCCCCCACACUGGUACUGAGACACGGACCAGACUCCUACGGAAGGCAGCAG